rnacentral:rRNA from 1 species
CCUACGGGAGGCAGCAGUAGGGAAUCUUCGGCAAUGGGGGCAACCCUGACCGAGCAACGCCGCGUGAGUGAAGAAGGUUUUCGGAUCGUAAAGCUCUGUUGUAAGAGAAGAACGAGUGUGAGAGUGGAAAGUUCACACUGUGACGGUAACUUACCAGAAAGGGACGGCUAACUACGUGCCAGCAGCCGCGGUAAUACGUAGGUCCCGAGCGUUGUCCGGAUUUAUUGGGCGUAAAGCGAGCGCAGGCGGUUAGAUAAGUCUGAAGUUAAAGGCUGUGGCUUAACCAUAGUACGCUUUGGAAACUGUUUAACUUGAGUGCAAGAGGGGAGAGUGGAAUUCCAUGUGUAGCGGUGAAAUGCGUAGAUAUAUGGAGGAACACCGGUGGCGAAAGCGGCUCUCUGGCUUGUAACUGACGCUGAGGCUCGAAAGCGUGGGGAGCGAACGGGAUUAGAUACCCUUGUAGUC